rnacentral:rRNA from 1 species
GAUGAACGCUGGCGGCGUGCCUAAUACAUGCAAGUCGAGCGAACAGAUGAGGAGCUUGCUCCUCUGACGUUAGCGGCGGACGGGUGAGUAACACGUGGAUAACCUACCUAUAAGACUGGGAUAACUUCGGGAAACCGGAGCUAAUACCGGAUAAUAUAUUGAACCGCAUGGUUCAAUAGUGAAAGACGGUUUUGCUGUCACUUAUAGAUGGAUCCGCGCCGCAUUAGCUAGUUGGUAAGGUAACGGCUUACCAAGGCAACGAUGCGUAGCCGACCUGAGAGGGUGAUCGGCCACACUGGAACUGAGACACGGUCCAGACUCCUACGGGAGGCAGAAGUAGGGAAUCUUCCGCAAUGGGCGAAAGCCUGACGGAGCAACGCCGCGUGAGUGAUGAAGGUCUUCGGAUCGUAAAACUCUGUUAUUAGGGAAGAACAAAUGUGUAAGUAACUAUGCACGUCUUGACGGUACCUAAUCAGAAAGCCACGGCUAACUACGUG